AUAAUCGACCACAGGCGACAGCCUGAUCUAGCCAUGCCGCCUGUGUGAAGAAGGUCUUCGGAUGGUAAUGCACUUCAAGUUGGGAGGACGGGUUGUAGAUCAAUACUCUGCAAUUUGGACGUUACCGACAGAAUAAGCAAGGGCCAACUUCGUGCCUGCCGCCGCGGUCAUCCGAAGGGUGCAAGCGUUAGUUCGGAGUACUGGGCGUAAGGCGCGCGUAGGUGGUUCGUUAAGUUGGAUGUGGAAGCCCCAGGCUCAGCCUGGGAACUGCAUCCAAAACUGGCGAGCUAGAGUACGGUAGAGGGUGGUGGAAUUUCCUGUGUAGCGGUGAAAUGCAUAGAUAUAGGAAGGAACACCAGUGGCGAAGGCGACCACCUGGACUGGUACUGACACUGAGGUGCGAAGACGUAGGGAGCAAAGAGG
rnacentral:rRNA from 1 species